rnacentral:misc_RNA from 1 species
AACCUUCAACCCCACCGGCCUUGUCGCGUGGGGCUUGGACUUGGGGUGUGCUGGCGAUUUACGUCGGCUCCCCUUUAAAUGCAUCAGUGAAGAGGGUGCUCGACCAUUUUCCUUUCUCCGGAAGGUGAUGGCCCGUUCGGUGUGAUAAUCCUGUUGCGCCGUCGGACUGGGGUCGAGUUCCGCUUUGCUUCCAACGGUCCCUUGUGGACGACGCCAUUCGA